rnacentral:rRNA from 1 species
UACGUAGGGGGGCAAGCGUUGUCCGGAUUUACUGGGCGUAAAGAGCGUGUAGGCGGCCAAACAGGUCCGUUGUGAAAACUGGAGGCUUAACCUCCAGACGUCGACGGAAACCGUGUGGCUAGAGUCCGGAAGAGGAGAGUGGAAUUCCUGGUGUAGCGGUGAAAUGCGCAGAUAUCAGGAAGAACACCAAUGGCGAAGGCAGCUCUCUGGGACGGUACUGACGCUGAGACGCGAAAGCGUGGGGAGCGAACAGG